rnacentral:miRNA from 1 species
AUCACAGAUCCAUUUGGGUAUUU